UACGUAGGGUGCAAGCGUUGUCCGGAAUUAUUGGGCGUAAAGAGCUCGUAGGCGGUUCGUCGCGUCGGCUGUGAAAUCCCGAGGCUCAACCUCGGGUCUGCAGUCGAUACUGGCGGACUGGAGUUCGGCAGGGGAGACUGGAAUUCCUGGUGUAGCGGUGAAAUGCGCAGAUAUCAGGAGGAACACCGGUGGCGAAGGCGGGUCUCUGGGCCAUUACUGACACUGAGAAGCGAAAGCAUGGGGAGCGAACAGG
rnacentral:rRNA from 1 species